UACGUAGGGGGCAAGCGUUGUCCGGAAUCAUUGGGCGUAAAGAGCGUGUAGGCGGCUUGGUAAGUCCGCUGUGAAAGUCCAGGGCUCAACCCUGGAAUGCCGGUGGAAACUGUCAAGCUUGAGUCCGGAAGAGGCGAGUGGAAUUCCGUGGUGUAGCGGUGAAAUGCGCAGAUAUCAGGAGGAACACCAAUGGCGAAGGCAGCUCGCUGGGACGGUACUGACGCUGAGACACGAAAGCGUGGGGAGCAAACAGG
rnacentral:rRNA from 1 species